rnacentral:lncRNA from 13 species
GAAGACACUCCUUCAAGAACCUGGAGGAGAUCGUGCCUUGUCUUUUUUUCCCUCUUUUUCUUUAAGCUUUGUAGAGACAGGGUCUCACUAUGUUGCCCAGGAUGGUCUUGAACUCCUGAGCUCAUGACAUCCUUCCGACUUGGUCUCCCAAAGUGCUGGGAUUAUAGGCGUGAGCCACCACGCCAGGCCUAAGGUCAUGAGUCUUGCCAGACCUUUUUCAGGAUGGCUGGGAGCGUGGUGGGUGCACUGGAGUGAGUGGCCUGUGUCUAUACAUGGCUCUACUGCAGCCACUCUGAGUGGCCAAGUGGCACCACUUGUGGGCCUCAGUUUCCCCGUGUCCUCAAGUUUCAUAGAGCCUCCCAAGGGAAGGCAUCUGGGGAAGGCGACCCUCUGUUCUUCCCUGUGCUCUUCCGUCCCCGCCUCUGUGGGAACUUCAGGCUCCCGAAUUUGAGUGAUGCUGUGAUGAGGAACAUCUGUGGGGACAGCCCACCCCCGGCUGAGGGCCAUGGGGUGGAGGCAGGCCCUGAGCGGCUUGCAGGGACUAUAGCCUGCAGGGCGAUCGUGGAGCCUCCUUUCGACGUCCUGAACCUGGGAAGAGACAGACUGUCCCUUAAGGCUGGCCACUCGGGGUCCCAGAGCCAAGGAAUAAGGGUCUUCUCCUGGAGCCAUGUAGAGACGGUGUUUCACCUUGUUGACCAGGAUGGCCUCGAUCUCUUGACCUCGUGAUCCACCCGCCUCGGCCUCCCAAAGUGCUGGGAUUAUAGGCGUGAGCCACCACGCCCAGCUGGCCAUACCACUCUGAACAUGCCCAGUCUCGUCUGAUCAAGUUGGAUUUGUCUGAGAUUUUCCUGUGAUCAAACUGAAGUCACAAAUUACGGGGAAGACGUCACGGAAGUGGUGCCAUGCCUUUCUCAGUGCAUCCUUGCCGAGGUGUCUUAUGUUGGUAUGUAUGACCUCUGGUGUCAACCUCUGGUGUCAACCUCUGGUGUCUGUCAACCUCUGGUGUCAACCUCUGGUGUCUGUCAACCUCUGGUGUCAACCUCUGGUGUCUGUCAACCUCUGGUGUCAACCUCUGGUGUCGACCUCUGGUGUCGACCUCUGGUGUGAACCUCUGGUGUCGACCUCUGGUGUGAACCUCUGGUGU